UAUUGGUACUUCUCUUGCUGAAAAUAGUUGAAUUACAAAAGCAAUGCACAGUCAUGCUAGAAAAUGCACAAUCAUUAUGCACAGAGUGAGAAGACAACCAGAACCGACUCCUACUGCUUGUUCCACUUGGAGGAGAUAACUCUCAAAAGGUUUCUUGAUGAAAUUUCCAACAUAAAAGACAAGAUCUUAUUGCUGGAAGAAGCGGAUUUCGUGAGGGAGGCCUCACACUCUGCAUAUGAAAACAAAGAACCUGAGGAUUUGGUAGUGUCCUCUUGGUGGCAGAGAAAGCAUGAUCCUGUUAAUCUGGAAGAUUUGAGGAUACUGAGAUGGCAGAAAUAUGGGCCACAAACAAACAAAUGGAAGAAAAUACCCCCUCUCCACCCAUCAAGAAGAGAGAGUAACUCCAAACAUUUUGGUUGGCUUCAUCCAUGGUAGCAAGACAGAAGCAAGGACUACUUGUUUUCUUGAUUACAUCAAGCAGAUAUGAGAGGGCUUUUGUGUCAACAAUUCAAGUAAGAUUCUUGAAUUCUUGCUUCUCAUCAUGAUUCUUCUGGUUUUGUUAACAUGCCUGCCCUUAGACCAAUGUCUGUGACCAGAAAGAUGAAAUGUGCUCAUUUAAUUAGGUUCCACCCCUGGAACUGGAAUUGGGGUCAGUUUUCUGAAGACACGUGUUGCUUAGAGAAGAAGUAGAUACCUAAAUGAAAUUAAUAAAUUAAAAGCAGGGCAUUGUAAGAAAGAGAGAAGGAGUGACGUAUACUUACAAGGCAGCCAAAUGACUACUACAUCUUCCAAUGAGCGUAAUGAGCAUAAACUCAUGACUACUCUUGGAGCCUAUGCAGAC
rnacentral:lncRNA from 10 species